rnacentral:lncRNA from 1 species
UCAAUUCCUCAUGUUUGUCCUAAAAUCACUAGACAGCUCCUAACUGGUUUGAAGAGGGCACCUAAGCCUCCAAUCCGGUCUAAUGAACUGAGUUGACCAGGUAAGCUCCUAGGUAAGUGGGGGGGUCACGAUGCGUUGCAAAGGUCCCACUUAAAAACCACUUGCCUCGAACAGAUGAACUGUCUCCCUUGGGACAAAGCUUGCCUAGACAUCAACUGAGCCACAGAGCGAAAUUGGUGCAACUUUCGGUGAUCUUCGUCCUAUUGAGCUCGAAUGUCCCUAGGGGCCAACAUCUAAUU